GAUCUAAUCUUAAUCCUCUUUUUUUUUUUGGUUUUUAUAGUUUGGAUCUGUGUGGAUUCGUGGAUGAUCCCAGUGAAGACUUGUGAUGUUAAAAA
rnacentral:snoRNA from 1 species